CUGACGGAGCAACGCCGCGUGAACGAAGAAGGCCUUCGGGAUUCGUUAAACGGUCCCGUAGCUAGGAACGAUCAAGGUAGCAGAGUAACUGCUGGUACCUGGACGUUAACUAACCAGAAAAGCCACGGCUAGCUAACGUGCCAGCAGCCGCGGGUAAUACGUAGGUGGCAAGCGUUGUCCCGGAAAUUAUUGGGCGUAAAGCGCGCGCAGGUGGUUCCUUUAAGUCUGAUGUGAAAGCCCACGGCUCAACCGUGGAGGGUCAUUGGAAACUGGGGAACUUGAGUGCAGAAGAGGAAAGUGGAAUUCCAAGUGUAGCGGUGAAAUGCGUAGAGAUUUGGAGGAACACCAGUGGCGAAGGCGACUUUCUGGUCUGUAACUGACACUGAGGCGCGAAAGCGUGGGGAGCAAACAGGAUUAGAUACCCUGGUAGUCCACGCCGUAAACGAUGAGUGCUAAGUGUUAGAGGGUUUCCGCCCUUUAGUGCUGCAGCUAACGCAUUAAGCACUCCGCCUGGGGAGUACGGCCGCAAGGCUGAAACUCAAAGGAAUUGACGGGGGCCCGCACAAGCGGUGGGAGCAUGUGGGUUUAAUUCGAAGCAACGCCGAAGAACCUUUACCAGGUCUUUGACAUCCCUCUGACAACCCUAGAGAUAGGGCUUUCCCCUUCGGGGGACAAGAAGUGACCAGGUUGGCUGGCAUGGUUGUCCGUUCAGCUUCGUGUCGUGAGAAUGUUUGGGGUUAAAGAUUCCCGGC
rnacentral:rRNA from 1 species